GUGAGGAAUAUUGGGCAAUGCCCGAAAGGGUGACCCAGCAACGCCGCGUGGAGGAUGAAUGCCGUAAGGUUGUAAACUCCUGUUAGAGGGGAAGAAAAAUCUCGAUCAAAUCGAGAACUGACUGUACCCUCAGAGAAAGCCCCGGCUAACUACGUGCCAGCAGCCGCGGUAAUACGUAGGGGGCAAGCGUUGUCCGGAUUUACUGGGUGUAAAGGGCGCGCAGGCGGGUUAGCAAGUCAGAGGUGAAAUCCUACAGCUUAACUGUAGAACUGCCUUUGAGACUGCUAAUCUUGAGUACGGAAGAGAGAGAUGGAAUUCCAGGUGUAGUGGUGAAAUACGUAGAUAUCUGGAAGAACACCAGUGGCGAAGGCGGUCUCUUGGUCCAUUACUGACGCUAAGGCGCGAAAGCGUGGGGAGCAAACAGGAUUAGAAACCCGGGUAGUCC
rnacentral:rRNA from 1 species